UACGGGGGGGGCAAGCGUUGUUCGGAAUUACUGGGCGUAAAGGGCUCGUAGGCGGCCAACUAAGUCAGACGUGAAAUCCCUCGGCUUAACCGGGGAACUGCAUCUGAUACUGGAUGGCUUGAGUUCGGGAGAGGGAUGCGGAAUUCCAGGUGUAGCGGUGGAAUGCGUAGAUAUCGGGAGGAACACCAGUGGCGAAGGCGGUUGCCUGGGGCUUUGCUGACGCUGAUGCGCGAAAGCGUGGGGAGCGAUCCGG
rnacentral:rRNA from 1 species